CGUAACUUUCAAUUCCGUAGUGCAUUGCAGUUGAUUUAAGGAAUUACUGCAAGCGCUGCAGAAUUGGCAGCUCCGUU
rfam:Drosophila mojavensis strain TSC#15081-1352.22 Ctg01_10634, whole genome shotgun sequence.